rnacentral:lncRNA from 1 species
AAGUUUCUGUAGGUUUUUAAUUUAUUUAUGGUUCCUCUUUGUUUUGUUUAGUAGAUGGCGAAAAAGGGCUUUGUUGAAGGGGUCGAUUGAGUCCAGACUCGCAUGUGAACCGGUCUGUCUUCAAAUACUUUUGUCUAAAGUAAUUGACAUAUAGAUAAAUUGGGUACUAGAUAGGUAGCUUUUGUAAUGAUUUGCUUCUUUUAGUUGUCUGAGGGUUCCACUAGAGAUUCUUAAUGAAAACCAAACACGAGGUAGUGAGUCUGCGUCAGGAUGGUCGUUGGCAAUGUUGGUCUUGAGUCAUGUCAUGUCAUCUUCAACAUCUGUACGAGAAAUUCAUUUUAUCUAAAUUAAUUAACUACGAUGCAAAAUGAUAAAAGAGCAAAUAGUUUUGUAGGAGAACUAACAAAAGAUUGUAAACAAAUGUUAACCAAGUUUACAGAAGAUUGUAUCUUUUCUGUUUAAAUUUUUUUCUUUAGCAAUUACUUUAUGAUUGUGUAAUUUGAAAAGUGGAACUCUAUUAUUUUAUGUCGUGUAAUAACUGAAAGAUUCUGUGGUCUGGUAGAGUGACCAAGACUGGUCGAAUUAAAAUGAUAGUAAGAUGAAUGAAAACUAUGCAGCAUCAAUAUCAAAAUUGCUUUAUGGAAGCAAAGAAGAGAGUAACAAAGGAAACCUUUACUUUUAAUGGGUUGAAGAAUAGGUUCUAAAUCUAAACUCUCUUCUCCUAUAAUCUCCAGCAAAUAGCAAAAGAGUGAUCUCUUUGCUUUCGAUGAUAUCUUUCGUGUAAUCUCAUGCGUUGUAGAGAUCGAGAGCACGUUAAUCUUCUUUGAAUGCACGCAAAAAGUAGAUAUCUGUCUUCAUCCUCCGAGUGACUUCUGCUUGUAACCGUUCUUGAUCCUAUCGUAAAGUUUCUCCUUAGUUUUACGUUUCUUGUCCAUUUUCAAUCGGUAUCUUUCCUCACGUUCCCUCUCGUAAACGCCUUUCCAAUGCACUUCUCCGGUUAGUGGCCAUAGCCAUCUCUCCCUUGGAUGGUCGUUAUCAUCUGCUGCUUCUGCCCGCAUGUGAACCGGUCUGUCUUCAAAUACUUUUGUCUAAAGUAAUGACAUAUAGAUAAAUUGGGUACUAGAUAGGUAGCUUUUGUAAUGAUUUGCUUCUUUUAUUUGUCUGAGGGCUCCACUAGAAAUUCUUAAUGAAAACCAAACACGAGGUAGUGAGUCUGCGUCAGGAUGGUCGUUGGCAAUGUUGGUCUUGAGUCAUGUCAUGUCAUCUUCAACAUCUGUACGAGAAAUUCAUUUUAUCUAAAUUAAUUAACUAAGAUGCAAAAUGAU